rnacentral:rRNA from 1 species
AUUGAACGCUGGCGGCAGGCUUAACACAUGCAAGUCGAGCGGAGCGGCGGACGGGUGAGUAAUACUUAGGAAUCUGCCUAUUAAUGGGGGACAACAUCUCGAAAGGGAUGCUAAUACCGCAUACUAUCAGAUGAGCCUAGGUCGGAUUAGCUAGUUGGUGGGGUAAAGGCCUACCAAGGCGACGAUCCGUAACUGGUCUGAGAGGAUGAUCAGUCACACUGGAACUGAGACACGGUCCAGACUCCUACGGGAGGCAGCAGUGGGGAAUAUUGGACAAUGGGCGAAAGCCUGAUCCAGCCAUGCCGCGUGUGUGAAGAAGGUCUUCGGAUUGUAAAGCACUUUAAGUUGGGAGGCGUUACCAACAGAAUAAGCACCGGCUAACUUCGUGCCAGCAGCCGCGGUAAUUC